rnacentral:lncRNA from 1 species
UGUGUUAAAAGACUAACUGAUUUGACCCUACAUUCUUAAAAAAAAUGCAGUCCAAGGAUUGUAUUUCAUGGGAGGGAAAAACACUUUAAACUUAAAUUAUACUCAACAAUUAUAUUUUAUUCAUAGAAUAUUUUUGAGCAAAGCUUAUGUUUUGUGAUUCUUAAAUAUACAUUUUUUAAAAAUAUCAAAAUUCUUACAUGCAGAAAAUUGUACAAGGCAUAAAGAAUGUAACUGGUUUCAGGGUUGGUGAUGUUGUAUAAGCUGAAGCCCACAAUACCCACAAGUUCCAAUUUUAGUCUCUUCCUCCAAGUUUAUGUACACUUUUGGAUGACCCAAAGCUCCUCCUCCACCACCAUCACAUGAUAUCACUCGACUUUCCACACUGCUGAUUGGUUGCUCUGCUAUCAAAUCAGCGCAGUUUUCAUUUACUUCUUUCUGGCUACCAACAAAGAGAAUCCUCCUGUAAUCAUCUUCAUCAUAAACCUGACCCACGUGGGUAAUUUUUUCCCCCGUGGGCGACAUCUGCACAUCAAAAUACCUGGCAGGAGCGGGGAACCCUGGCUGGCCCCAAGGCUGUGGCCCAGAAGGCACCUCAGGCCACAAACACCACUGCUGUAACUGCCUCCAUUGUCCCCCUCCAAUACUUUUUUAAAGAAACAAUCGAUGUUUUCUCAACACUGAUAUUCCCUGAUGUACCCAGCAAGUCUUCUUUUGUACAAACAGAAAAAUUAAGCAAAAUGACAAGAUAACUACAUCAAAUGUAGUAUGCAGCAUAUUGUACUCAUAGUCUCCCACAUCUAUAAAGAAGGAACAUUUCCUCAUUUUUGGGAGUAAUGCACUCAGAGUCAUGGUGACAGAAGAUGGAACUAGUGAUCUUUUCCCACCUCCCAGAAUUGGGCUGCAGUUUUCAUUAGAUGCUGGUACUUCUGAAAUUUGUCACUUUGCUGGUCAACUUGAUGAUAAACAUCUCCAAACUCAACUAUACUGGUCCUCUGGAAACCAACAUAUGAUUGUUUGAAGGCUAGACUUAGUGUCAUUCCCUCUUGGUUGAACCUUCCAGAUCCAUUGUUUCUUUGACAUAAGUAACAUUUGAACCCAGGAACAACUCCAGGCAUUGGAAAAGUACUUAUGGAGGAUGCCUUAGAUACCACAUACCAAAUCUAUUGCUUGCAUUAUGCUACACUGAAUAAAUAAUUUUAAAAAAUUUACCUGCUCUGUGUG